CCUAUGCUUUCGAUUUCGUUCAAAUGUCUUCAUAUUUGAAUAGCGGAAUUCAAUGUUAUGUGCGGUUACUGUGACUCCUAUAUUUAAAAUAAUUAUAAAAUUACUAUGAAGUUAAUCAAAUCAAACGCAAACUUAGUAACUACAUAUCAAACACAAAUUAGAGCACAUCACUGCCUCUGUCCACUCCCUACCGGUAGACCUUCAAGUUCAACUUUCAAGGCUCAAACUUCAGCUGCUUUCAUUCAUACAUUUACCUGUCAGGCUGUCCUAUCGUCUCCUCCCCCGCCAGCAACCUCGUCCUCAUUCUUCAUUUCAUUCACGACUUCAAAUACGAUCAUGUGUUCAGUGUUUGGCACAGUCGCAUGAUAUGAAGGCCUGACAGACUGACUGAAAUUUUUGACCGCGCUUGAAGUUCUUGGUCGCUGAUUGGAUUUAAUUCUAACCGUAUUUACCCAGGAGUGAUGAUAUGACCAUAUCAAAUUUUCAUGGAAACACGAAUUUGUCGCUGCCUGAGGCUGGGGGCUAGGGCCAAGGGCAAAAUUUAAGGCAAGAUGCAGAGCAUUUCAGACCUGAUUGCAAGUAAGCAGCCAUGUUGUUGUUGGCGCCGACAUCACGCUCGCACAGGGGAGGCUCCGGUGGGCUGGACACCGGAAGAAGAGGGAGAUGGGCGAAGGCUGGGAGGGUGGCCAGGAACUCUGUCGCCUCCAUGGAACUGGACUGUCCCACAGAAUGGUAAGUUCUGAUGGUUGUGGUAAAGCCUUCGUCACACACGAGCUUCGCGGCGUCUGGCUGGACCUCAUUCAGCAUUGAAUGCUCGCCACCUUUGCCUGCUUCAUCAUCCAGGAACCACACCUCUAAGAAGUAACAAGUACGCCGGUGGGCCUGCAUGAUGUCGCUGACCACGCCACCUCGGAGCCAUUGUGUUCCUAUAGUUAUCCUAACUAGUGCGAAGUGGCACGACGUGCUACUUCGUUCACUGCCACUGCUUCGUCAGCACGUCACACUCAACGUCCACUUCUAUUUGUGAGCCUUUUCCGCUGCUCAAGUCGAGUGGGGCACAUGUGCCCUACCAGAGUCCGUGAUUAAUUUUCGUGAAGCCGACUAGGACAGCUGAGCGCUAACUAGAAAUAUCAUCAUUGAAUUACGAUUUACGUUACCUUUCAUUUUUCAACCUUGUGAGUGGACACCUUAGGUGUCUAGUUCCAUCAUAACCGUUUCGAUAUUAAUCGCUAAAUCUCGCUCUCAAUUCUAAGAUAAUUUCCUCUUUGAUCUCUAAAUCUCGCUCUUAAUUCUAAGGUAAUUCCAUCUUCAUUUAUUUAGUAAAGAUUAACA
rnacentral:lncRNA from 1 species